ACAGUCACAUCACGUUGACACACCGGUUCCCGUACGAUUAUCGACGUUAAGCAACAUUAAGCUUGGUUAGUACUUAGAUGGGUAACAACUUGGGAAAAUGAGGUGCUGUAAG